rnacentral:rRNA from 1 species
UACAGAGGUCCCAAGCGUUGUUCGGAAUCACUGGGCGUAAAGGGUGCGUAGGCGGCGGUGUAAGUCAGAUGUGAAAUGCCAGGGCUCAACCUUGGAACUGCAUCCGAUACUGCAUUGCUUGAGUACUGGAGGGGAGUCUGGAAUUCACGGUGGAGCAGUGAAAUGCGUGGAUAUCGUGAGGAACACUAGUGGCGUAGGCGAGACUCUGGACAGUUACUGACGCUGAGGCACGAAGGCCAGGGGAGCAAACGGGAUUAGAUACCCGCGUAGUCC